AUUUUAUGAAACGAUAAGCGUGAAGCACGUUGGUAACACGCUAGAAAGAUAAUAUGUCCUAGUAAAAAACCAACAAAAUCAACAAGACAACAAGCAUCCAUCUAGAUAUUUCCGUAAGCUACUCAGCACCAGCCUUUAUUCCUACGCCACAGUCAACCAAUCUCAACCGUUAAUCAUCUUUCAUGUCCAUUCAAUCUAAACCGUCCGAUCAACCUAACACGGUUAUAAAUUGACCCUUCAUCUCGCUGACAGCUUGCAUCCCAUUUUCAUCAUCUUCAUUUAUCUCAGAUCUGUUCACUGCCAUUUCUCUUCUUUGCCAGCGGUAUUCAGAUAUGUGUAGACCAUUCUCCGAUCUACAAUGUGAUUAUAAUUUUGAUAUGUAUCAGAUUCAGAUCUGUGUAGUGUGUAUCAGGCCAGACGAGGAGGUCAAAUAACUUGUUGUAGAAAUGCAAGGUACAAUCAAUUCUCGUGGCCUGACCUUUCCUUGGUCACGUGCAUGCAUAGCUAGAUCUUUAGUGCACCGGAGGCAGCAAAGUGGUGAGAAGGAAGAGAUUCUGCGUUGUUCAAUUUGCCAUUUAUAUAUAGGAAGAGCUGAUGACUUCUGGAAUGAAGUGGUUGUGAAUUUAGAUUUGAUUUGAUUUGUUCCUUUGUCGAUCUGCUGCUUUGAGUUGCAUGGUGAUUUAUCGAUAUGAAGGCUUUGGCUAGAUGAAGUAUUCUUCGAUCUGAUGGAUUUGUUAUGAGAUUGACUGCUGUGUACAAGGUAAUCAUCAACUGGAUAUAUCACUGGUGCUCUAUUUUUUGCCUGAUUACUGGUGAUGGUAAUCUGCAAGAUUGAGGUUUUUAGACAAGGUUCAUAGUUUAAUUUGUCAUCUAUUAUCAGCUUCAGUUUGUUCUGAUAUGCAUGCAUAUGUACGAGUUAGUGGAGUGAUUAUAGAGGAAAGAAAAGAGAGAAAAUGUGAGAUUAUUUGUUGUUUUCCGACCUUUGCCAUGUCGGGUGCGCUCGUAUGGCAGGUCAUAAUACCUAAUAAAAAUUCAUUUUUUGUGUUUGGAGGGGAGAUGGUACGGGGUUUUUUGGCCCGGCUCUCCUCUCCUGUGUCUUGCCUUUGCCUUUGCCUUCCCUUGUUCCCUUGAAUUUCCACUGCAAGAUCUUCCUGGCUAACGUCUCAUCUAAUAUGGAGGUUAUUGCGCUCCCCUUUGAAUGAAUAUCUGCGAAGUUAAAGCAACGCUCCACCUAUUCAAUGGUAAGUUAUGUCGCACAUUUAUUAAAUACAACAAUGGAUUGGCCAACACUAGGAUUAUUCUACUCGAGCACUCCAUCCAAAGGUACACUUUAUGAAUCCCUUUACUAACAUUGAUGCUUAACUUGUAUAUAGCUUGUGUUAUUCCAUGAGAAAGUCUUGCCAAUAGUUAAUAAAAUUCUUAAUUGUCGAGCACCACAUAUAGCAAUAAUGAUUUACAACAUCUAGUAAUUAAUCCGAAUUGAGCUUGGAUGAGCUAAUGAUUUAUUUAUCAACCAAAGGUAUCCUAAUGAUUUAUGUUAAAUGAUUGAACAAUCUUUAACUACUUCACCAAUACAACAUGUUUUUCACAUAAGCUAACAAGUGACUCACACGUAGAGCUUAGUGAUGUUUUGAGUGAGCUUGGAUGAGCUGAUGAUUUAUUUAUCAACGAAAGGUAUCCUAAUGAUUUCUGUUAAAUGAUUGAACAAUCUUUAACUACUUCACCAAUACAACAUGUUUUCACAUAAGCUAAUAAGCGACUCACAUGUAGAGCUUAAUGAUGUUUUGAGUAUGUGAAAUAGUUUUAGGUUUUGGAAUUUUGGCCAUCUAAAAAAAUUGGCUUUGAGAAUCUGAUUCUCCGCUUCGAAACAUUGGGUCAUUAACUUCCUAAUUGAUAAUUCUAAUCCGUAAUUCUUGAACGAUUAUAGAUUGCUAAUUUGAUGAAUCAUCCGUAUCAAUUUCUUGUCGUUAUUCAGAAGCAAUCGAACCAUUAUCUAUCAUUUGGUCUUCCUAUGCAAUGUGUAUCAAUGUAUUUUGGACUGUGGUUUUACUAUUUGUGAAUGGUGGUCCUUGUAUAUGCUAUCAUUGUGAGGCUUUCAAUACCCAAGUAUUAUGUUUGUAAAGGCAAUUUGCAUUUUCCUCCUGUUGAUGUAAUUUAAUCGUGGGCUUUAAUGGAGUCGCUUGAAGACCAUGAAGCGUGGUGAAUGUGUUCUUGGGAUUUCUUCCGAUAUUCAGAUUAGGUUUGUUCGAGAUUCCUUUCUACAUUGGCAGCUGGUUGGUUCUCCCGAAAUGCCCAAGACAGCUUUUGCCUCAGCUGAAGUUAGUGUCAUCAACCAACUUGGAUGUUGCUGUGGUGUGAACGGAGAUGCUCUACUGCUUAAUCAAGUGUAGUGUUGAAUUUCUGGAUUCUUUUCCCAGCUGAUUAUCUUCACUUGAAGUUCUUGUUUGCCAUCUUUCUUCACUUGGAGUAUACAGUGAGCAAAACCCAAUUUUCAGCUGUGUUUGCCUUGAUAGAGUUACUGGUCGAUUUGCUGCUGCUCUUAUAUAUUGUGGUAUUUAUUUGUUUGGAAGCUCACAGCAACACUUUUUAGCAAUUCUGCUUGGGUUGUUGAAGCUGCCUGGGGCAUAAUAAUUGAAGUAAUCUGCUGCUGUCCAGAGCUGCAUACCACUUAGCAUGCUAUUGCUGAGCGAAAACAUCAGGGGUCUCCUACUUGCAAUAGGGGUCUUUGAUCUACAUGUCUUCUUGCUAUAUUGUUUAUUGUUUUAGAAGCUGAAUAUGACCUCUAAAGGUGAUGGUUAGUCAUUAUUAUGCCUAAUUUUGAGAUGUUACCACUGUGUUGGCAGAAUAGUGAGGAUACUUGCCAUCUUGUGCUAGGUAGAUUGCGCAGGAGUGUUUAAAUAUUUGCUGAAGAUUUACUACAAGGAAAUGUUGUCAUCUUUGAUGCCUGUGUUGACUUGCUCAAGAAUUGUCAUUCAUCAUUCAUCUUCACUGAAGAUUUACUACAAGGAUAUUUUGUCAUCGUGAUACAUGUGAUUAUUUGAUCAUCCGUUGAGGUAAUGUGUUAUCUUUAGUGUUCACGCUGUUAGAUUGCUAUGCUGGUCUGGUUAUUUAUCAAACCCCGUCGCUAGUUGUAAUUCAUUUCUGGAGCUAUUUUUCUGUAGAUGUUUAUUUAAUACAAGGCCGGAAGUUUAUUAAA